rnacentral:misc_RNA from 1 species
GAGGAGGAGCUGGACUGUGAUGCUGAAAUAAUCAUCUUUAUUAUAUGCUCUAAUUGCUUCCCACCGCUACCACUAAAAUGCAAUUUUUCUAAAGACGGAAGUAAUGGCAUGGAAGUCAGGUUAGGGCAAUUAUCGAUAUGCAAAAUGGAAAGACAAGGAAAUCUAGGGAGGUCUGCCGUUCCAUCAUUCCUCAGGCAUGUCAACCAUCCCUUCAGAUUAGGGCAGUGGAAGAGGAAGAGUCGUGUUAGGGAAGGAAAGAAUGAUGAAGAUCCUCCAUCACUAUCUAUAUACUCUAGAUUAGUUAAUCCAGAAAUGAACAAAGAUUUAAGAGAAAGAAGCUGAUCAAAUGGUGGGAGACGCUUUAUGCUUUUGCAAGAGCAGAAACUAAUGGACAUCAAAUUUGUGAGGGAAGAAAUCCAGCUGGGAAACUUCACUCCUCGGUAGAACUUCAAAGAUAGGUAUUUCAAAUUUUGGUGGGGCCGUAAUGCUUCCAACUCCAUUUCAUCAUUCUCAACGUCAUUUGCACCCUCGCUAUCAUCACCGUCUUUAUUCCAUUCUAAUGCCAAACUCUGAAGAUGUUGCUUCUCUUUCAAAUUGGCCGCCUUAAAUUCAGAUUUACCAUUUUUCACAUAACCCAAAUUCACAAUCUUCAACUUCCCUCUCAAGUUGUUCAAUCCUUGUAAUUCACCGAGUCCACUGCACACAGUAUUAUCCUUGGCUACCACAAAUCUCGAUAAUCUCUCCAGUGAACUCAAUUGUCCAAUCCCACGUGGCAUAUGAGUC